AGUAAUGUCUGGGAAACUGCCUGAUGGAGGGGGAUAACUACUGGAAACGGUAGCUAAUACCGCAUAANGUCGCAAGACCAAAGAGGGGGACCUUCGGGCCUCUUGCCAUCGGAUGUGCCCAGAUGGGAUUAGCUAGUAGGUGGGGUAACGGCUCACCUAGGCGACGAUCCCUAGCUGGUCUGAGAGGAUGACCAGCCACACUGGAACUGAGACACGGUCCAGACUCCUACGGGAGGCAGCAGUGGGGAAUAUUGCACAAUGGGCGCAAGCCUGAUGCAGCCAUGCCGCGUGUAUGAAGAAGGCCUUCGGGUUGUAAAGUACUUUCAGCGGGGAGGAAGGCGAUAAGGUUAAUAACCUUGUCNAUUGACGUUACCCGCAGAAGAAGCACCGGCUAACUCCUUGCCAGCAGCCNCNNUAAUACAGAUGGUGCNNGCGUUAAUCGGAAUUACUG
rnacentral:rRNA from 1 species